GAUGAACGCUGGCGGCGUGCCUAAUACAUGCAAGUCGAGCGAACAGACGAGGAGCUUGCUCCUCUGACGUUAGCGGCGGACGGGUGAGUAACACGUGGAUAACCUACCUAUAAGACUGGGAUAACUUCGGGAAACCGGAGCUAAUACCGGAUAAUAUAUUGAACCGCAUGGUUCAAUAGUGAAAGACGGUUUUGCUGUCACUAAUAGAUGGAUCCGCGCCGCAUUAUCUAGUUGGUAAGGUCACGGCUUACCAAGGCAACGAUGCGUAGCCGACCUGAGAGGGUGUGCGGCCCCAGCGGCACUGAGACACGGUCCAGAGUCUUAAGGGAGGCAGCCGUAGGGAAUCUUCCGCAAUGGGCGAAAGCUGGACGGAGCAACGCCGCGUGCGGGACGCAGGUCUCCGGAUCGUAAAGCUCUGUUAUUUGGGAAGAACAAGUGCGGAAGUAACUAUGCACGCCUUGACGGUACCUAAUCAAAAAGCCACGGCGAACUACGGG
rnacentral:rRNA from 1 species